GGGAAUGUGGCUCAGUGGUAGAGUGCUUGCCUAGCUUGCAUGAAGCCCUAGGUUUGAUUCCUCAGUACCA
rnacentral:tRNA from 1 species